rnacentral:lncRNA from 1 species
UGACAGAUACAGAUGGAGAUGAUGAAGAUCCAACUACUUUAUUUUUGGUAAGUUGGCUAUGUAAUGGUUGCCAUCUGUCUAUGUCUCAUAUUUCUGCAGCUUUUCUUGUUUGGGGUAGUUGGCUUUCUUUUCCAUCAGCAUUUUGUAAAGUGGGGUGGGUGUUAGUUUUGCUUGUCCUACAUCGCUGAUUUGCUUUCGAGAAAGAGCGAUG